rnacentral:rRNA from 1 species
AAAUUGAAGAGUUUGAUCAUGGCUCAGAUUGAACGCUGGCGGCAGGCCUAACACAUGCAAGUCGAACGGUAACAGGAAACAGCUUGCUGUUUCGCUGACGAGUGGCGGACGGGUGAGUAAUGUCUGGGAAACUGCCUGAUGGAGGGGGAUAACUACUGGAAACGGUAGCUAAUACCGCAUAACGUCGCAAGACCAAAGAGGGGGACCUUCGGGCCUCUUGCCAUCGGAUGUGCCCAGAUGGGAUUAGCUUGUUGGUGGGGUAAAGGCUCACCAAGGCGACGAUCCCUAGCUGGUCUGAGAGGAUGACCAGCCACACUGGAACUGAGACACGGUCCAGACUCCUACGGGAGGCAGCAGUGGGGAAUAUUGCACAAUGGGCGCAAGCCUGAUGCAGCCAUGCCGCGUGUAUGAAGAAGGCCUUCGGGUUGUAAAGUACUUUCAGCGGGGAGGAAGGGAGUAAAGUUAAUACCUUUGCUCAUUGACGUUACCCGCAGAAGAAGCACCGGCUAACUCCGUGCCAGCAGCCGCGGUAAUACGGAGGGUGCAAGCGUUAAUCGGAAUUACUGGGCGUAAAGCGCACGCAGGCGGUUUGUUAAGUCAGAUGUGAAAUCCCCGGGCUCAACCUGGGAACUGCAUCUGAUACUGGCAAGCUUGAGUCUCGUAGAGGGGGGUAGAAUUCCAGGUGUAGCGGUGAAAUGCGUAGAGAUCUGGAGGAAUACCGGUGGCGAAGGCGGCCCCCUGGACGAAGACUGACGCUCAGGUGCGAAAGCGUGGGGAGCAAACAGGAUUAGAUACCCUGGUAGUCCACGCCGUAAACGAUGUCGACUUGGAGGUUGUGCCCUUGAGGCGUGGCUUCCGGAGCUAACGCGUUAAGUCGACCGCCUGGGGAGUACGGCCGCAAGGUUAAAACUCAAAUGAAUUGACGGGGGCCCGCACAAGCGGUGGAGCAUGUGGUUUAAUUCGAUGCAACGCGAAGAACCUUACCUGGUCUUGACAUCCACGGAAGUUUUCAGAGAUGAGAAUGUGCCUUCGGGAACCGUGAGACAGGUGCUGCAUGGCUGUCGUCAGCUCGUGUUGUGAAAUGUUGGGUUAAGUCCCGCAACGAGCGCAACCCUUAUCCUUUGUUGCCAGCGGUCCGGCCGGGAACUCAAAGGAGACUGCCAGUGAUAAACUGGAGGAAGGUGGGGAUGACGUCAAGUCAUCAUGGCCCUUACGACCAGGGCUACACACGUGCUACAAUGGCGCAUACAAAGAGAAGCGACCUCGCGAGAGCAAGCGGACCUCAUAAAGUGCGUCGUAGUCCGGAUUGGAGUCUGCAACUCGACUCCAUGAAGUCGGAAUCGCUAGUAAUCGUGGAUCAGAAUGCCACGGUGAAUACGUUCCCGGGCCUUGUACACACCGCCCGUCACACCAUGGGAGUGGGUUGCAAAAGAAGUAGGUAGCUUAACCUUCGGGAGGGCGCUUACCACUUUGUGAUUCAUGACUGGGGUGAAGUCGUAACAAGGUAACCGUAGGGGAACCUGCGGUUGGAUCACCUCCUUACCUUAAAGAAGC